rnacentral:rRNA from 1 species
UGGGGAAUUUUGGACAAUGGGCGAAAGCCUGAUCCAGCAAUGCCGCGUGUGUGAAGAAGGCCUUCGGGUUGUAAAGCACUUUUGUCCGGAAAGAAAUCCUUGGCUCUAAUACAGUCGGGGGAUGACGGUACCGGAAGAAUAAGCACCGGCUAACUACGUGCCAGCAGCCGCGGUAAUACGUAGGGUGCAAGCGUUAAUCGGAAUUACUGGGCGUAAAGCGUGCGCAGGCGGUUUGCUAAGACCGAUGUGAAAUCCCCGGGCUCAACCUGGGAACUGCAUUGGUGACUGGCAGGCUAGAGUAUGGCAGAGGGGGUAGAAUUCCACGUGUAGCAGUGAAAUGCGUAGAGAUGUGGAGGAAUACCGAUGGCGAAGGCAGCCCCUGGCCAAGUACUGACGCUCACGCACGAAAGCGUGGGAGCAAACAGGAUUAGAUACCCUGGUAGUCCACGCCCUAAACGAUGUCAACUAGUUGUUGGGGAUUCAUUUUCCUUAGUAACGUAGCUAACGCGUGAAGUUGACCGCCUGGGGAGUACGGUCGCAAGAUUAAAACUCAAAGGAAUUGACGGGGUCAUAGCUGUUUCCU